UACGAAGGGUCCAAGCGUUAUUCGGAAUUAUUGGGCGUAAAGGGCGCGUAGGCGGCCUGACAAGUGGAAGGUGAAAUCCCUCGGCUUAACCGAGGAACUGCCCUCCAAACUGUUUGGCUUGAGACCGGGAGAGGUGAGUGGAACUGCGAGUGUAGAGGUGAAAUUCGUAGAUAUUCGCAAGAACACCAGUGGCGAAGGCGGCUCACUGGCCCGAUACUGACGCUGAGGUGCGAAAGCGUGGGGAGCAAACAGG
rnacentral:rRNA from 1 species